CCCUAAGAAAUUGGGAUUAAUACUCCAUAGUAUUUAUUGAACACAUGUUUAAUAGAUUAAAACUUCGGUGGUAUAAGAUGAGUAUGCGUCCUAUUAGCUAGAUGGUAAGGUAACGGCUUACCAUGGCGACGAUAGGUAGGGGGCCUGAGAGGGUUAUCCCCCACACUGGUACUGAGACACGGACCAGACUCCUACGGGAGGCAGCAGUGAGGAAUAUUGGUCAAUGGAGGCAACUCUGAACCAGCCAUGCCGCGUGAAGGAAGAAUGUCCUAUGGAUUGUAAACUUCUUUUAUUUGGGAAGAAACCUAUCUACGUGUAGAUAGCUGACGGUACCAAACGAAUAAGGACCGGCUAACUCCGUGCCAGCAGCCGCGGUAAUACGGAGGGUCCAAGCGUUAUCCGGAAUCAUUGGGUUUAAAGGGUUCGCAGGCGGUUUAUUAAGUCAGUGGUGAAAGCCUACAGCUCAACUGUAGAACUGCCAUUGAUACUGAUAGACUUGAAUAUAGUUGGAGUAGGCGGAAUGUGUAGUGUAGCGGUGAAAUGCUUAGAUAUUACACAGAACACCGAUAGCGAAGCAGCUUACUAAACUAUUAUUGACGCUCAUGAACGAAAGCGUGGGGAGCGAACAGGAUUAGAUACCCUGGUAGUCCACGCCGUAAACUAUGAUUACUCGUUAUUGGGCGAUACACAGUCAGUGACUAAGCG
rnacentral:rRNA from 1 species